rnacentral:rRNA from 1 species
AACGCGAAGAACCUUACCUGGUCUUGACAUCCACAGAAUUUCUCAGAGAUGAGGAAGUGCCUUCGGGAACUGUGAGACAGGUGCUGCAUGGCUGUCGUCAGCUCGUGUUGUGAAAUGUUGGGUUAAGUCCCGCAACGAGCGCAACCCUUAUCCUUUGUUGCCAGCGGUCCGGCCGGGAACUCAAAGGAGACUGCCAGGGACAACCUGGAGGAAGGCGGGGAUGACGUCAAAUCAUCAUGCCCCUUAUGGCUUGGGCUACACACGUGCUACAAUGGCGUAAACAAAGGGAAGCAGCCCUGUGAAGGUGAGCAAAUCCCAAAAAUAACGUCUCAGUUCGGAUUGUAGUCUGCAACUCGACUACAUGAAGCUGGAAUCGCUAGUAAUCGCGGAUCAGAAUGCCGCGGUGAAUACGUUCCCGGGUCUUGUACACACCG